rnacentral:lncRNA from 1 species
AUUGGAUUUAUAGAAGUAAAACAUAAGUCAUAAGUGACUUGUGCUGAAAUCGGAAUGAAAACAGAAGAUUUAGAAUUUUCUAUUGAAAACGGGACAGAUAAAUUAGCAGAAAAUGCAUAGUCUCAGAAAAUUAUGAAAAUUGGAGGAUAAGUCAAAAAUAUUUUUAUGAGGCUAGAUUUAAAGUUUCAUAUUUUUCUGACACCCGUAGAGUGAGAAAUAAAAUCCGACAGCUACCUGAUAAAGAUUACAGUUCGGUACAAUUUUCGGUGACCAAAUGGGGUCGAAACUGAAAACUUAAAAUAUAUUCUUGCUCAGUACGUAAAACCGAACAUGACUAUCAAGUUUGAGCUCAAACGGACAUUCAAGGAGCUCCGGCGAAAGUUAUCAGA